rnacentral:rRNA from 1 species
UGGGGAAUCUUGGACAAUGGGCGAAAGCCUGAUCCAGCAAUGCCGCGUGAGUGAUGAAGGCCUUAGGGUUGUAAAGCUCUUUUACCAGGGAUGAUAAUGACAGUACCUGGAGAAUAAGCUCCGGCUAACUCCGUGCCAGCAGCCGCGGUAAUACGGAGGGAGCUAGCGUUGUUCGGAAUUACUGGGCGUAAAGCGUACGUAGGCGGUGACUCAAGUCAGAGGUGAAAGCCUGGAGCUCAACUCCAGAACUGCCUUUGAAACUAGGUCGCUAGAAUCACGGAGAGGUGAGUGGAAUUCCGAGUGUAGAGGUGAAAUUCGUAGAUAUUCGGAAGAACACCAGUGGCGAAGGCGGCUCACUGGACGUGUAUUGACGCUGAGGUACGAAAGCGUGGGGAGCAAACAGGAUUAGAUACCCAGGUAGUCCCUGAGCGGGCUGGCAAGGCGCAU